GGCCAGAUAAGGCGUUCACGCCGCAUCCGGCAACAACUGCCUGAUGCGACGCUGGUGCGUCUUAUCAGGCC
rnacentral:ncRNA from 1 species